UAUUGCUCUUCAACGAGGAAUCCCUAGUAAGCGCAAGUCAUCAGCUUGCGUUGAUUACGUCCCUGCCCUUUGUACACACCGCCCGUCGCUACUACCGAUUGAAUGGCUCAGUGAGGCGUCCGGACUGGCCCAGGGAGGUGGGCAACUACCCCCCAGGGCCGGAAAGCUCUCCAAACUCGGUCAUUUAGAGGAAGUAAAAGU
rnacentral:rRNA from 1 species